GGCACAGCGCCCGUGUGCUGGAGGCGAGUUGGCUCCGGGUGGGGGAGGCUGGGGUUCCAAACCAGGGCAGGGGAAUGGUGGCCCUGCGUGGCUCGUGGACCUCUCUCAGGGACCCCUCUCAGCAGGGGCCGGAAAAGCAGGCCCACACCCAGUGGUCAUUGCAGGAACUUCACUUGAGCUGGUCUGCUUGUGAGCCUGUGGUUUGGAGAGGAGAAGACGCACUUCCCCAUGAGAAAAAGGUGGUCAUCCCCAUGGGCUCCACAGAUGAGGACAUCGGCCCUCAGCUCUGCCCCCUCUCAGAAGCCUUCCUCACCUGGGGGUUCUGGGUGAAGGGAGCUCCCCGCCAGAGACUCAUGUGGGAUCGUGUGUGGACCGUAGAGCCACAGAGCGUCAUCUGUAAGCCAGAUAGAGUUUCACUCUUGUCUCCCAGGCUGGAGUGCAAUGGCGUAAUCUUGGCUCACUGCAACCUCCACCUGCUGGGUUCAAAUGAUUCUCCUGCCUCAGCCUCCGAAGUAGCUGGAAUUACAGGUGCCGGAUUGAUGGAACCUCAAAUGUGUAAAGUCUUGCACAGGAAACUCCCCAGCAUGGCCAUUCAGAGGCUCUCAACUCCUGCUGGACCCAAACACAAGAAACCAGGAGGCCCAGACCCCGUCUCUCAUUUUGCACGUCAGAAAACGGUACCUGGAAAGAGAACUCCAUUUUCUUUUCUUAACGUUCUUUAGCUAAAACAAGAGUGUAGGGAAGGGGCUACUUGGAAAAGAGAUUCUCUAAAUUGCCUGAAAAAUCGAUCACAACCCAAGAACCAAGUAUUUUGAAACACAGCAUAUUUAGGAAGUUUGAGGAAGCUUUAAAAUAUCUCCAGAAGGUUUGUGUUUAGCCCAGCACGAUGUCUGUCUUGUGACCCAAAGGUUUAUCUUCUGAACCUUACUUGAGCAACUUCAUUAAUAAAAACAUUUUUGAGAAUGCACAUCUAACACGUAUAUACUUAUUAUAACUUUUGUACAUAUACUUUUGAACUAAUAUGUUCUGUUUUUUUAAAGAGAUACAUAUUAAAUAUGUAUUUUUACAUAUUAACAUUAAACAAAUACAUUAACAUUAAACAAUGUAUUAACAUUAAACAAAUACAUAUUAAAUAUGUAUUUUUAAAAACACAUAUCUAAACACAAAUUUAAAAAUUGAUACGGAUGAAAUAAAUAUUUAAAAAUAGGGCCGGGCGCGGUGGCUCAUGCCUGUGAUCCCAGCACUUUGGGAGGCCGAGGCGGGUGGAUCACCUGAGGUCAGAAUUUCAAGACCAGCCUGGUCAACAUGGUGAAACCUCAUCUCUACUAAAUAUACAAAAAAUUAGCUGGGUAUGGUGGCAGACACCUGUAAUCCGAGGUACUCGGGAGGCUGAGGCAGGAGAAUCGCUUGAACCCAGGAGGCAGAGGUUGCAGGGAGCCGAGAUCGCGCCAUUGCAGUCCAGCCUGGGCAACAAGAGCAAAACUUUGUCUCAAAAAAAAAAAAAAAAAAAAAAAAAAAAAAGAUUUUGUCUAUUAACUAUCUGAAACCCUUUUUGUUCUCAUUAAAAUAUAUUAUUAUUAAUCAAAUUUCUAGUGAGAGCAAUGGGAUUGGAUAGGCAUGAUUAUUUUUAAAAAUCUUGGUAUAAUACUUUGUGGCACAGUGAGUCAAAAGCCUGGCUCUGAUUUUCAAUACUUGGGCGAUUAUAGCUGAGAAAGAUAUAUGAGACAUAUAAAUCUGAAUGGAAGAAGGGAACUGGACUCUCAUUUCUGAUUCCUGGCCACUGUGAAGGCACAGGUUUUCAUCUGUCACUAUGUGCUAAAAGCAAACCAGCAAGUGAGGGUGUCACUGUCAUCUGCUCCUUGUCGUGAGAUUCCCACCUUUCCCUCAAGACAUCUCAGAUAUCAUAUGUAACCUUGACCCUGUGUCCCACAGCAGCAGCGGUCAUUGAGUGUAAAGCCUUUUCCUUGAGGAUUGUGGUAGACAGAAUGCCCCCCAAAGGUGACUAUGCUUGAAUCCCUGGAAACUGAACGUGUCACCUUCUAUGGCAAAAGGGACUUUGCAGAUGCGAUUAAGGUUAAAGACCUUAAAUUAGAGGGAGUACCCUGGACUAUCCAGGUGUCUAAUCUAAUCCCAUGAGACUUCAAAUGCAGAGAGCUUUCUCUGGCUGGAGUCAAAGAGAUGUGACAAAAGAGGUCGUCGGAGAGAUUGGAAGUGUGAGAAAGACCCGACCUACUGUUUCUGGGGAGCCCACCUGGAAAGCACGAGAAGGGACACAGGCAACCUUUGGGAACAAAGACUGCCAGCCACAAGGAAAAGACAACAGUCCUCUAGCCACAAGAAACCAAAUUCAGCCAGCAACCUGGACAAGCUAGAAGAGCAUUCUUCCCCAGAAGCUUUAGGAGGAAGUGAGGCCUUGCAGAUACCCUGAUUUUGGCUUUUGAGACACUAAACAGAGGAUCCAACUGAGUUCAACUGGCCCAGAAACUGAGAUAUGUUUGGACUGUUUUAAGCUGCUACGUUUGUGGUAAUUUAUUUUGGUGGCAACUGAAAAUGAAUGUAAUUGUAUAUUAGAAAAAUUGAAGGUAGAAGCUCUAAUACUUUCUCCCCACACCCCAGUGGUUCAUCAUGUGCAGCACUCAGGGUGUGGAAAUUCCAUUUUGAAGACACCGUCUUCCAGGAUUCUAACCCCCACCUGGGAAAGGUCCUGGAGAGAACUUCUAGCAUGUUCUGAGCCAUUCACAUUUAACCCAGAGAGAGAAGGUGUCCUGCCCAAACGCAAAGCAGCAUGGCGGUAGUUCUGGACAUAACCUUAACAAUUGCCAGGAACUCUCUGGAUGUCCAUCCAUCAGCCCUAUCUAGUCUUUUUGUCUGCAUGGCAUUGUGGGGGAUGUGGCGAUGAGGGCCAGGAUCGCAGAAGUCAGAGUACCCGUGGCUGGAGCUUCCAUUUUAAAUGACGUGUUCUUGCUUAUGGCUUGAUGGUGUCCUUUCAGAUUUUGCAUCUGGCUGUACUCCAGAUGUUUAUAUAGAAACUUCACAGUAGACAUGAUGGUGGCGCAGGUCUGCAGGAAGGAUCCUUUCCUACUUACAGAUGACCCAAUGUGGCCGAUCCCUUCAAUAUUUACAACAGCUGGGUGAGUAGAGGCAUGAUCAACUCCAUUUACCCGUCAAAUAAAUGAAAUUUCAGAGCGGUUACACAAUCUGCUUGAGGUAACAAGGCCAGCAAGCCACAGAGCCAACAUACCCCUGGUGCCUGGCUCCACAGGAGUCUGGGAAGAGGGAGAGGAAGAUGGGGACAGGAUGUAUCACCAGGAUGCUAGGGGAAGAGAGAAUAUUGACGUGUGGGGCAGCCUGCAUCCCCAAAUCAGGAGCACUGGGUGCUGCUGUGUUACCGUGAGUGUAGGAGCAUGCCGUUCUGGGCCUCACUCUGCCCAAAUAUGUCUUGCUCAUUUUCACCGCCAUAUGUCUGCUCGUCCCGGUCUGUUUGAGGUUGCUUCCUGUUCCCUCUCUGCCUCUAAGUCCUUCAAAAAGCCAACUGGAAGUGCCUCUUCCAGGCUUUCCUUAGCCUUUCUUUAUUCCCUUGAACUUCUAUUAUGUUAAUUGUUCAAAAGAUUAGUUCUGACACUUACCCUAUGCUGCUUUGUAUUACUAUUGGAAAACAACAGUAGCUCUCUCAACCCAUUGGGUGGAUGGUACAUGCCAUGCUUUAUACAUUCCCGUGGCCCUGCUGUACCUGGCACACACAAAAGGGGAUUAAUAAAUACGCAUAUGUUGAAUGAAAGAA